UCCAGUCCACUACUCUCCCUCACUACAUCCAGUCCACUGCUCUCCCCCGCGUCGAUCCCAUCCUCCUCUCCCCCACAUCGCCGCCGGCCUCACCCCCACAGGCGCCACAACCGGCGACGUCGCCUCUCACCGCCACCCCCCUCUCAUCCCCUCCCCUCGUGGCAGAUCCAGCAACAACCGUGGUGUGGGCGGGCGGCGUCAACGCGCUUCUCUCGGCCGCGGAGCUGCUCCCGCCGGGCCACCCGGACCCGUCUGUCGCCUGCUCGCCUCCCGCGGCGUCUUCUCCGAGCACACAGUCGACGGAGGACGGAGGCCGGAGUCGGUACACGCUUGUGCUGGCGUGGCCGCAGCUCCACAAGGCCAUGCUCGACCCCGCCGGCGCCGAGCCCUUCGCGCGCGCCUACGCUGGCGUCCCCGCCUACGCCUACUACGACCAGGACCGGGAGGCGAACGAGGUGAUGCUCGAUGAUGAACAUCGGCUCGAGGACAUCCUGGUCGGCGAUGCUCCUCUUCGCUAGCAUCUCCAACGCAUGUCGGAGGCGAUGCAGCAGCGGUGAAGGCGCUGCUUGUGCUCGGGUGCAUGCACGUGCAGAAGGGCAUGUUCAUUGACAGUGCUGCGAUGGAUGUCUUGUUGGGUUGGCAGGGAAGAGGUUGGAAUUUGUUGCUUGUGUGCGUGUGUAUGCAGUCACCUGGAAUAUGUUUCUUGUGUGCACGAGGUUAUAAAAAUGCAGAAAUUGUGCAUAAUCCCUUCAAGCUAUCAUGUUUCCUAAAAACUUGACUCAAUUGUUUUUGAGUUUUAGCGGCAUUUAACCUGACAUUUCCUGUGUAUGAAGUCAUCAUGUGGUCAUUAACAAUCAUGCAGAUGAAACAAGUCUUGUUUAGUACAGCGUGGCAUAUUGUUGCAUUCAAGUGUAAUGUCAAGCACUGUGCCCUAUUGUCAUUUUUGCUGUGUUCUUCCUAUGCACAUGGAUACAUCGGCACAUCAUAUCAUAUUGUGGUAGGUCAGUUUUUUGUAUUGAAAGCUAGUAAUUGUGCACUGGUGAACAUGAUAUUGCCUCCAAUUCUGUUUUUAUCAUCUAAAUGUCUAAAUGAUAUGUCUUACUGGUGGCAGGUCAAGCCAGAGGUGAUGCACAUCCUUACAGUCAUGGUCCAAACCGUACACGGCACCCAUAUGCCAUGACCGUCGUCAUCUUGCAUCUUGUCGGUCAAGCGGAGGUACUAUAAUCUGAAGAAGUGCCUUGGACUAUAAUCUGAAAAUGAACAAUAUUCCACUGAUGGUGCUGAACGAUUAAAUGCUUGUAAACCAUCUAGAACUGUAAUCUCAUUUGCAUUGAUAUCAGUUUCAUGAUUGCUUAUACCCUCUGAUGAUCAACCAAAAGGAAAAUGAGUCCCCUGAUCUGUGUCAUGAAGAUGAAGCUGAUUGACCAAAGAUCCGCCUGGGCGCACCAAUGAGGCAAGCUGAAAACACCUUCUACUUACUUGCAGGAAAGAAGCGUUCGUGCGCAGGGAUCAAAGAUGAACCUGAUUGACCAAAUUGAUGAGUAGUAUAAGAAACCUUCAGGUAAACCUUACCAUAGACAACCACUAACAAACUAUUGGAUGAACAGGCAAUGAUUCAAAAGAAAACAGCUGACCUGUGCCUCCCAAUCUGCUGCAAACGAAGUGUUUGUGGCAGGGAUCGCUGGGGAGUUUUAACCAUCGCCGAGAAUCAAGGCUUGCAGCACCGCCCAGGGGACACGAAGAAUCAAAGCUCGCCGCCCCGCUAAGGAGAAGAUUUUUAACGAUAUGGAAAGUUUGAUGCGCGGAAAGAAUCAGGCGUCCAUUAGAAAGAUUAUAUCCUAGAUCGCCCCGUGCAAGCUAUUACAAGGAAAGUGGUGUUGUACAUAUGGAUACUUUAGAUCUUUAGUCGUCCGCUUGGCUGAUAUUUGAUUGUUGGCUGAUUUGGUGGCUGAUUGUAUCCUGAUUAGAGGAAAGUGUCGAAUAGGAAAAUCGGUUGGGGAGGCUGGCUCGCUAGAAAAACCGGUGGGCGAUACCCGCGAUGGUUAACAUAAAAAUCGGUGGGGAGGGGAAACGAAACUCCUCCCUCCGGAGUAGAGAUAGCCUUUGGAGUAAUUUAAAUUUAUGACAAUAUAAUUAUCAUAUUUGAAAUUUCCUGA